rnacentral:piRNA from 1 species
GGAAUGAAAAUGGAUGUUUAUCGACUGCCC